rnacentral:rRNA from 1 species
GAUGAACGCUAGCGGCAGGCCUAACACAUGCAAGUCGAGGGGCAUCAUGGCGUAGCAAUACGCUGAUGGCGACCGGCGCACGGGUGCGUAACGCGUAUGGAACCUACCCACCGCAGGGGGAUAACCCGGAGAAAUUCGGACUAAUACCCCAUGAUGAUAUUUAUGGGCAUCCAUUAAUAUUUAAAGCUCUGGCGGUACAGGAUGGGCAUGCGCGACAUUAGCUAGUUGGUAAGGUAACGGCUUACCAAGGCCACGAUGUUUAGGGGACCUGAGAGGGUUGUCCCCCACACUGGUACUGAGACACGGACCAGACUCCUACGGGAGGCAGCAGUGAGGAAUAUUGGUCAAUGGGCGCAAGCCUGAACCAGCCAUCCCGCGUGAAGGAAGAAUGCGCUACGCGUUGUAAACUUCUUUUCCAGGGGGAGAAUAAUCCUGUCGUGACAGGACUUGACGGUACUCUGGGAAUAAGCAUCGGCUAACUCCGUGCCAGCAGCCGAC